GAUGAGUUAAGGGAGCAGCAGGAACGCUUUAAAGAAGCACUUGAACUUGAAUACAGCUGCAGAAUAAAGAUCAGAAAAGGAUGGGGGUUGGAAACAUUAUACCAUUGCUACUAAUCCUAGCAGUAGUAACACAGAUAACUACAACUACAGCUCAGAUAACAGCAGCUGCUCCAACAACAACCACAGCUGCUCCAACAACAACCACAGCUGCUACAACUACAACCACAGUUGCUCCAACUACA